rnacentral:rRNA from 1 species
UUUUUGAAAAUAAUAUAAAGUCUAAUCUGCCCACUGAUUAAUUAUUAAAGGGCUGCAGUAUAUUGACUGUACAAAGGUAGCAUAAUCAUUUGUCUCUUAAUUGGUGACUUGUAUGAAAGAUUGAAUGAAAUAUAAACUGUCUCAUUAUAAUUUAUAAAAUUUAAUUUUUUAGUAAAAAAGCUAAAAUUUAUUUAAAAGACGAGAAGACCCUAUAGAGUUUUAUAUUUUUUUUAAAAAUAAUAAAAUAUAAAUUUUUAAAUUAUAUUUAAUUAAAUUAUUUUGUUGGGGUGACAAAAAAAUUUAAUUAACUUUUUUUAAAAAUUUACAUUAAUUUAUGAAAAAAUGAUCCAUUAAUAAUGAUUAUAAGAAAAAAUUACCUUAGGGAUAACAGCGUAAUUUUUUUUUUUAGGUCAAAUAAGAAAAAAAGUUUGCGACCUCGAUGUUGGAUUAAGAUAAAAUUUAAAUGCAAAAGUUUAAAAUUUU